UACAGAGGUCUCAAGCGUUGUUCGGAUUCAUUGGGCGUAAAGGGUGCGUAGGCGGCGCGGUAAGUCGGGUGUGAAAUCUCGGAGCUUAACUCCGAAACUGCAUUCGAUACUGCCGUGCUUGAGGACUGGAGAGGAGACUGGAAUUUACGGUGUAGCGGUGAAAUGCGUAGAUAUCGUAAGGAAGACCAGUGGCGAAAGCGAGUCUCUGGAUAGCAACUGACGCUGAAGCACGAAGGCCAGGGGAGCAAACGGG
rnacentral:rRNA from 1 species